AUUGAACGCUGGCGGCAGGCCUAACACAUGCAAGUCGAGCGAGCGGCGGACGGGUGAGUAAUGUAUGGGGACUGCCCGAUAGAGGGGGAUAACUACUGGAAACGGUGGCUAAUACCGCAUACUAUCGGAUAACCCAUAUGGGAUUAGCUAGUAUGUGGGGUAAAGGCUCACCUAGGCUACGAUUCCUAGCUGGUCUGAGAGGAUGAACAACCACACUGGAACAGAGCCCAGGCCCAGACUCCUACGGAGGCAGCAGUGGGGAAUAUUGCACAAUGGGCGCAAGCCGGAUGAUGCCAGGCCGCGUGUAUUAAGAAGGCCUUAGGGUUGUAAAGUACUUUCAGCGGGGAGGCGUUACCCGCAGAAGAAGCACCGGCUAACUCCGUGCCAGCAGCCGCGGUAAUUC
rnacentral:rRNA from 1 species